rnacentral:rRNA from 1 species
AUUGAACGCUGGCGGCAGGCCUAACACAUGCAAGUCGAACGAGUGGCGGACGGGUGAGUAAUGUCUGGGAAACUGCCUGAUGGCGGGGGAUAACUACUGGAAACAGUAGCUAAUACCGCAUACCAUCAGAUGUGCCCAGAUUGGAUUAGCUAGUUGGUGGGGUAACGGCUCACCAAGGCGACGAUCCCUAGCUGGUCUGAGAGGAUGACCAGCCACACUGGAACUGAGACACGGUCCAGACUCCUACGGGAGGCAGCAGUGGGGAAUAUUGGACAAUGGGGGCAAGCCUGAUGCAGCCAUGCCGCGUGUAUGAAGAAGGCCUUCGGGUUGUAAAGUACUUUCAGCGGGGAGGCGUUACCUGCAGAAGAAGCACCGGCUAACUCCGUGCCAGCAGCCGCGGUAAUUC